rnacentral:rRNA from 1 species
UACGUAGGGCGCAAGCGUUGUCCGGAAUUAUUGGGCGUAAAGAGCUCGUAGGCGGCUUGUCACGUCGGGUGUGAAAGCCCGGGGCUUAACCCCGGGUCUGCAUUCGAUACUGGCUAGCUAGAGUGUGGUAGGGGAGAUCGGAAUUCCUGGUGUAGCGGUGAAAUGCGCAGAUAUCAGGAGGAACACCGGUGGCGAAGGCGGAUCUCUGGGCCAUUACUGACGCUGAGGAGCGAAAGCGUGGGGAGCGAACAGG